GGAAACGCCACGAAACACGACAGAAUCCGCUAACAAGAGUUUUAUUAAAGGGACAGAGAGUGAGCAGGCCUGCGGGAAACACGUGUGUGGAGAAGAAGGAGGAAGAAGAAGAAACCGGGAACAUGGCGCCAGAUUUUAAAGGCUGGGCGUGGACAGAUCAGCGUCACUACUACACGCGAGCGCGUAGAUCACAUGGCCACGUUGCGCGCUUACGUGGCCAGUGGGACGUCAUGGAUCUUGGUCACGCGAGAUGCCCUGACCCGGAAAUGGCUAUCUGGACCUGGACCUAGCUAGGCGGAAGUAUCCGCCAGGCAUAGGCAGACACGCCUGACCGUGGGGGCUUGUUGUAAAUCUUUCACUGGCAGCUGCUUGACUCCCAUUCACUAGCAUAUUAAGUAGCAUAUUUUACAGUAUUUCAACAAAUAUAUACCAGGAAUCAGUGCUGAUUUUUUUUUUUCAGAUAAAACAUUGUGCUGAUUUGUCGCUGUCACUAUGACAACAUUAUGACAAGAACUAGUUGCUGGAAGCUACCUAGUAAAAGAAAAUGUCAUCUGUAUUUCUCAAUAAAAAUGAGACACAUAGGACCAGUGCUUUAAUACCUAAAUUAGUAUGUAAAUAGUAAAGGAAUGUUAAAUCACCACUGGACAAAGAAACACCUCAAGCUAAUGAAUCUCUUAAGGGGUAUCUUACAGAGAAGAAACGCAAACCUGCUGGAGGCCUGGGAAGCCUCUGCCAGUCUCUCAACACCAUUCAUUUGCACGUGACCCCUGCCAAUACUCUCAGGUGCAGUCGUUCCCAGUGCAUACAAGGAGGUCAGAGCACAGCAUGCAGGAACCGCUAUCUGGGUUCUGGGGAUGGAAUUC